CCAUUCUAAACGGUGGAUCACUCGGCUCGU
rnacentral:rRNA from 2 species